GAUGAACGCUGGCGGCGUGCCUAAUACAUGCAAGUCGAGCGAACGGACGAGAAGCUUGCUUCUCUGAUGUUAGCGGCGGACGGGUGAGUAACACGUGGAUAACCUACCUAUAAGACUGGGAUAACUUCGGGAAACCGGAGCUAAUACCGGAUAAUAUUUUGAACCGCAUGGUUCAAAAGUGAAAGACGGUCUUGCUGUCACUUAUAGAUGGAUCCGCGCUGCAUUAGCUAGUUGGUAAGGUAACGGCUUACCAAGGCAACGAUGCAUAGCCGACCUGAGAGGGUGAUCGGCCACACUGGAACUGAGACACGGCCCAGACUCCUACGGGAGGCAGCAGUAGGGAAUCUUCCGCAAUGGGUGAAAGCCUGACGGAGCAACACCGCGUGAGUGAUGAAGGUCUUCGGAUCGUAAAACUCUGUUAUUAGGGAAGAACAUAUGUGUAAGUAACUGUGCACAUCUUGACGGUACCUAAUCAGAAAGCCACGGCUAACUACGUG
rnacentral:rRNA from 1 species